rnacentral:lncRNA from 1 species
UUGAAAAAGCAGUAUGAGCAGAGGAAGAGGGCAUGGGGCUCCGGGUGGGGUAAAGGCUUCCCGGGGCAGCUUUCCCGAUUGCACUUCUGUCUAAGCAGGACCUUCUUGUCUGGGCUCGUGAGCCUUCCAGCUUGGUCCCUGCACAGCUAAGCCACUGGGAAGGAAGGCAGGACCCCACACCAAGAUGACCCUCCAGACAUGCACCCUG